AUAUUACCAACGCCAGGCAUUAAAUACCAACAUGGUUGACCCCUUCUAGUCUUGGAAGCAUCCAUAAUGUCAUCAGCAAUAAGGAAAAAAGAUUGAAGCAACUCGACCAUCCAUCCCAAAACAGCUGCUUUCAUGUACGCUGCUUCGUCCAAAGGAUGUCCAAGAAGAAUUUCAUAACUGUCAAUAACAGAUAAUCCACGAUUAUACUUUCCACCUAAUGUGUUAUGGAAAAGACUCUACAAAAACAGCAGUUAGUCAUGUGUUAUUCGAGGUUCCCAAAAAGAAAUAAAAAAUUGAUGUGAUCUAAUUAAAAUACAGAUGAUAUGACACGAUGCCGAUGCAAUAAAAACAGCGCAAAGUAUAACACUUUUUUUUUAAGAGAUCAAUGUUUUAGAAACAUUCAUUGACAUUGGAAAAUAUUGUAACUCUACACUCACAUACAUUCUUGUACCAUUCUGUGACAUCGUCAGGAAUAUUGAUAGUUUUGAGAUAAUUGACGAUUUCAUCAACAAAAACUGGCAAAGCAGAUUCGAAUUUUGCUCUUUUAUCAACUGCAGACAUCUAAGAAUUUGGUUAGGGUUUCAAUGAAAUAACAAAUGCGUUUUGCAUCAAACAAUAAUCAUACAAAAGCGUAACCCUCGGUUGUCAGGAACAAAAUUCCAAUACCUUGAGCUGCUAAAUAGCAAAACGCACGAACAUUUUUCAAUGUUUAAAAAAUUUAUCACUUACAACGAAGAACUUGAAAACUCAAAACUACUUCAAAAAAAAAGGAAACUAGUCAAUGGUAGACGAUGCGAUUAAACUAACCUAGUGGAUGCGCUACAUAACGAUGGCUCGCGUAUGCAUGCUGCCAUUGUUUGUUACUUAAUUCUAGGUAACGAACAAAUUGUGACCAAAAGUCA